rnacentral:rRNA from 1 species
UACAGAGGGUGCGAGCGUUGUCCGGAAUCACUGGGCGUAAAGGGCGCGUAGGCGGUGUACUUAAGCGUGUGGUGAAAAGCCUCGGGGCUCAACCCCGGAGUCGGCCGUGCGAACUGGGUCACUGGAGUAUGUCAGAGGCAGGCGGAAUUCCGGGUGAUGAGCGGUGGAAUGCGUAGAGAGUCCGGAAGAACGACCGGUGGCGAAGGGCGGCCUGCUGGGACAUGGCUGACGGCUGAGGCGCGACAGCGGUGGG